GGUCGCCGGAGAGACCUCAACUGAGGCUGUCUCNUUGGGCGGUGACAGGAGCAGGGACAUUUCCAGAAGACCAGGGGGUCCUGGGGAGGAAGCAGUCAGAUCUUCCCCCUGAACCCGGCUGAAUUGGCCGCCGUGGGGGGCGGGGGGGAGCAACGAUUCGAAGCACAGACCUAGAAAAGGGCUUUUUGAAAAACUGCUGCUUUUUCCAAAAUGUAAUUAGUAUACGAGAACCAAUGUGCGUAUCCGCCUAAGACGCAGCACUGCUAGGGGCGGAUUGAACCGUUCAAAUUCCUUGCAAGUAAUUCAACUAUUUUGCAUCCUCGAGUUUCUUUUAAUGAAGCUAGUGAAACCAUAUUCGACAAUGACUUAAAAAAAUAGAUGUUUUAAGAAUGUAAAGAUGUAUGUGUAAUGGAACUGUUUGAAUGUAGUGCCAUGAAUACCUUUUUUGAAUCAUUUGUAAUUUCAAAUAAUCUCAUUUUGAUUCUGAGGUCAGUUUUGCUGGUUUGGCUAAGAAGAAAAUAAGUAAUAUAUUUAAAGUGUCAUUUAUAUAUAUAGGUAACUAUGAAAAACCACAUAGUCUGUUAAGAUGAGAGGUUUGCUAAUAUGAUUUUCCUUGCCCGACAAGGAAAUCUAUUAAGUAUCAAUCUCUAGUGGAUGGAAAUCUUCAUUAUUCCUUCAUAAUUUUUGACUUUUUUUUUUAGCAUAUUCACAACAUGAGAGGGUUUUUCAGUUCUUCCAAUCACAAACAUCUUUUAAAUAAGAAAAUAAAUAUUUUCUUAAAUGUGGCUAAAACAUUUUAAUGGCUAAGUAGAUUACAGAAAAUGUUUUAAUUUCAACUUGAAUGACAGACUCUAAAAUUAGCUGACUCUGGUUUUCUAGAACUGGCCCUAUUGGUCCUGCUGCUCUGGUGAUUCCCUGUGUGUUUCCAGAGAAUCUUUCCUUCCAGGUAAUCAGGACAUCACAAAGAAGUAGAACCAAAGCAUUAUGACACAUCUUUUAAUUAUUUAUUUGUAAGCUAUUAAUAAUUUUUAAAUACUUGCCCUUGGGAGAUUGGUUUAGAUCUCAUGUAUAGUACUUUUAGAAAAUUAUCUGAAAAUGCUAAAUAUUCUUUUGUGUGUUGGAUAUUAUAGACUCUUAAACUGGGCUGCUG
rnacentral:lncRNA from 1 species